rnacentral:tRNA from 1 species
GUCGUUAGCUCAGUUGGUAGAGCAGUUGACUUUUAAUCAAUUGGUCGCAGGUUCGGGCCUCACGCA